UACGUAGGGGGCAAGCGUUGUCCGGAUUUAUUGGGCGUAAAGAGCUCGUAGGUGGUUCGGUAAGUCGGAUGUGAAAUCUCCAGGCUCAACCUGGAGGGGUCAUUCGAUACUGCCGUGACUAGAGUUCGGUAGGGGAGUGUGGAAUUCCUGGUGGAGCGGUGAAAUGCGCAGAUAUCAGGAAGAACACCAACGGCGAAGGCAGCUCGCUGGGACGGUACUGACGCUGAGACGCGAAAGCGUGGGGAGCGAACAGG
rnacentral:rRNA from 1 species